rnacentral:rRNA from 1 species
GUAAGGAAUAUUGGACAAUGGACGCAAGUCUGAUCCAGCCAUGCCGCGUGAAGGAUUAAGGUCCUCUGGAUUGUAAACUUCUUUUAUAAGGGACGAAAAAAGGCUUUUCUAAGUCGUCUGACGGUACCUUAUGAAUAAGCACCGGCUAACUCCGUGCCAGCAGCCGCGGUAAUACGGAGGGUGCAAGCGUUAUCCGGAUUCACUGGGUUUAAAGGGUGCGUAGGCGGGCAGGUAAGUCAGUGGUGAAAUCCUAGAGCUUAACUCUAGAACUGCCAUUGAUACUAUCUGGCUUGAAUAUUGUGGAGGUAAGCGGAAUAUGUCAUGUAGCGGUGAAAUGCUUAGAUAUGACAUAGAACACCUAUUGCGAAGGCAGCUUACUACGCAUAUAUUGACGCUAAGGCACGAAAGCGUGGGGAUCAAACAGGAUUAGAAACCCCAGUAGUCC